AGAGCGAACGCUGGCGGCAGGCCUAACACAUGCAAGUCGAGCGCCCCGCAAGGGGAGCGGCAGACGGGAGAGUAACACGUGGGAACGUACCCUUCAGUUCGGAACAACCCAGGGAAACUUGGGCUAAUACCGAAUACGUCCGUAAGGAGAAAGAUUUAUCGCUGAAGGAUCGGCCCGCGUCUGAUUAGCUAGUUGGUGAGGUAACGGCUCACCAAGGCUACGAUCAGUAGCUGGUCUGAGAGGAUGAUCAGCCUCACUGGGACUGAGACACGGCCCAGACUCCUACGGGAGGCAGCAGUGGGGAAUAUUGGACAAUGGGCGCAAGCCUGAUCCAGCCAUGCCGCGUGGAUGAUGAAGGCCUUAGGGUUGUAAAGUCCUUUCGACGGGGAAGAUAAUGACGGUACCCGUAGAAGAAGCCCGGCUAACUUCGUGCCAGCAGCCGC
rnacentral:rRNA from 1 species